AUGAAGCUUGCCCAAACGUCGAUUGCACCUCCGCCACCAGUGGUUGAAGCUCCCGUAGUAGCCAGUUGUAGCUCGCCCGUCGGCGCGGCGCUGUCAGAUGCAGCUCAACCCAUCGUCGGUUGUAGCUCCUCCGUCCACCGGUUGCAGCUUCCGGCAUGCCCGGUUGCAGCUCCCAGCGUGGCCGGUUGCAGCUCCACCGUCCGCCGUCCAUGGUCCAUCCCUGGGACGAGAGGGGGCGUCAGUGAGCUAGAAGGACGCUGGCAUAGCUAUGGGGAAAAAGGGGGAAAGCUCGCCGGAGAGGGAGAAAUAGCAGUAGAGGGAACUCUCUGCUGGUGGCGGGGCUCGCCGGAAUUAGGAUCCGACGGCGCGAGGCAGAGUUGA
rnacentral:rRNA from 1 species